rnacentral:rRNA from 1 species
GAUGAACGCUGGCGGCGUGCCUAAUACAUGCAAGUCGAGCGAACGGACGAGAAGCUUGCUUCUCUGAUGUUAGCGGCGGACGGGUGAGUAACACGUGGAUAACCUACCUAUAAGACUGGGAUAACUUCGGGAAACCGUAGCUAAUACCGGAUAAUAUUUUGAACCGCAUGGUUCAAAAGUGAAAGACGGUCUUGCUGUCACUUAUAGAUGGAUCCGCGCUGCAUUAGCUAGUUGGUAAGGUAACGGCUUACCAAGGCAACGAUGCAUAGCCGACCUGAGAGGGUGAUCGGCCACACUGGAACUGAGACACGGUCCAGACUCCUACGGGAGGCAGCAGUAGGGAAUCUUCCGCAAUGGGCGAAAGCCUGACGGAGCGACGCCGCGUGAGUGAUGAAGGUCUUCGGAUCGUAAAACUCUGUUAUUAGGGAAGAACAUAUGUGUAAGUAACUGUGCACAUCUUGACGGUACCUAAUCAAAAAGCCACGGCUAACUACGUG